ACGUGCGCAGGCGGUUUUGUAAGUCUGUCGUGAAAGACCCCGGGCCGUCAACCUGGGAAUUGCGAUGGAGACUGCAAGGCUUGAAUCUGGCAGAGGGGGGUAGAAUUCCACGUGUAGCAGUGAAAUGCGUAGAGAUGUGGAGGAACACCGAUGGCGAAGGCAGCCCCCUGGGUCAAGAUUGACGCUCAUGCACGAAAGCGUGGGGAGCAAACAGGAUUAGAUACCCCUGU
rnacentral:rRNA from 1 species